AGUGAAGCGGCAACAGCUCAAAUUUGAAAGCUAGCCUUCGGGUUCGCAUUGUAAUUUGUAGAGGAUGAUUUGGGGAAGCCGCCUGUCUAAGUUCCUUGGAACAGGACGUCAUAGAGGGUGAGAAUCCCGUAUGUGACAGGAAAUGGCACCCUAUGUAAAUCUCCUUCGACGAGUCGAGUUGUUUGGGAAUGCAGCUCUAAAUGGGAGGUAAAUUUCUUCUAAAGCUAAAUAUUGGCGAGAGACCGAUAGCGCACAAGUAGAGUGAUCGAAAGAUGAAAAGCACUUUGGAAAGAGAGUUAAAAAGCACGUGAAAUUGUUGAAAGGGAAGCGCUUGCAAUCAGACUUGUUUAAACUGUUCGGCCGGUCUUCUGACCGGUUUACUCAGUUUGGACAGGCCAGCAUCAGUUUCGGCGGCCGGAUAAAGGCUCUGGGAAUGUGGCCUCCACUUCGGUGGAGGUGUUAUAGCCCAGGGUGUAAUACGGCCAGCCGGGACUGAGGUCCGCGCUUCGGCUAGGAUGCUGGCGUAAUGGUUGUAAGCGACCCGUCUUGAA
rnacentral:rRNA from 1 species